AUAUUAUCACCUGCAUCUGCUUGCAUGUUUUCGGCAUGUCUUCUUGUUUUUUUGGGUGACAAGAUUGGUAAAGGCUGAAUGACUUCUCCAGGUGGACCCUGUGAAAGAGAUAAUGUGCAUGUAACUGCUUCCUAAGCCUGUGUGACUCAUGAAGAGAACAAUUUAUUUGGUGAAGGAAUCACUAUGUGCCUGUGCCAAUGUCAUUCUUUUAAAUGAAGUGCCAGGAAACUAAGUGUAAUUGCAUGCAUUUGGGGGAACUGUCCACAUUUGGAAAAGAACUGGCUGGGCCAUUAGUGGCAUUUUAUUCAGAGUGGAAAUAUUUUUUUUUCUCCAAAGGACAAAAAGGAAAGAUCUGAUCAAGGGGAAAAAUUUCCAAAUAACCCAUCCCUUAGGAUUACUUUCCUCUUUUUAGGUCUAAGUAAAAUGCUUUCUGAAAUAUUGUACAAAAUAUAAACUAUUUUGUAAGACACAAUUUUGGAAAUUCUAGCCUGUAAACAAUUUUGCUUCUGGAGCUUUCCCUUUCGAAGUAACAGAAAAGACCAUACUCACCAUAGGACCAGGAGGCCCAUCUUGACCUGCAGCUCCAGGGAGACCUUGCUCUCCCUAUGGAAAAUAAACACAAUUGAUUUUUUGAUUAACAAAAGCAUACAUAUUUCUUCAUUUCAAUUUUGGAAACACAAAAAGAAAGCAAGAAAACAUCAUCUAUGAAUUCCAUCCCAUGGAGAACAUCUACAAAUGUUAUAAGCAAUUUUGAGUGUUUUUACUUUGUGUGUGCAUGUCUAGAUGGAUACAUGUAUAAAAACUUCAUAUUGUUGAGUUCUCAGGGUUGGGUUUUCUCUUCUGCCUUUCUAUGUUGGAAUUCACCAUGAACUUACUAAAUAAAUGAUAUCUUUAAAUAUUUUAA